AAUUCUAAUGUACAAGUUAGCAUUGAGUCAGGUGAACCUGUUAUUGCUCAACCUUUUAUUCUUUCACAUGUCCAAGCAAAGGAAGCUGAUAUCCAAGCUCUUUCAGAGUUGACUCGUGCUCUUGACAAGAAGGAGGCUGUGGUGUCUGAGUUGAAGCGCAUGAAUGAUGAGGUGGAAAACCAAAAAGAUGGAGAAAACUCCCUAAAUGCUUCUUAAAAAGUUCAGAAUCA
rnacentral:misc_RNA from 1 species